AGUAGUCCAGUGGGAUGACAUCUGGAGGGGCUAUGCUUUAGAUUAUUUAUAGAUGUGGGCAAUAAGAGCUACAUUUAUGUUGUCAGUGCUGUUUGCCCUCGUUUAAUUUCUCAAAUGACCUAAUUAUAUGUGUUCUCAAUAUGUCUUGGGAGGAAAAUAAUUGCUGAUACUGUCAAAGGCAAAAUGCUGAAUAUGUUUCAGUGCUUCUCACAUUCCAUGGCCUGAUUAUGGGCAUCAUUAAAUUACACGUUACCAUUCUUCCGGAACAUCGCAUUGAACAUGUCCUAAUGUUUCACAAUGAGAAGUGAAGCACUUCCUCUUACUUAAAAAGAAAAAUAUUUGAUUUUUACAGGAUGCCUGACACUAAUGCUUACUAUUCUGCUAUCUAUGAUGUCUUCACUUAUGGAUAUAUUUAUUAACAAGUACUUAUUAGCUAUUUAACAUUUCCUCUACUGAGUGUUAUUAAUUACAGAUGCUGUAUUAGUUUCCUAAGGCUGCUGUAACAAAUUACCACAAACGUGGUGACUUAAAACAACAGAAAUUUAUUCUCUCACGGUUCUGGAGGCCAGAAGUUCAAAAUACAGCUGGGACCAAAGGCAUCUCUAAGGAAGGAUACAGUCCUUGCCUCUUCCAGGGUUCUGUGCCUCCUGUUGGAAUGAGCUCACUAACCAGUGGAAACAAACUGUUUAUCCUUCUAUGAUGUUGCAACUGCCUGGGCUUUCUAAUGCGUCUUCAGAUUUCGGUUUGUACUCAGAACAAGUGAGAAAAGUUUUACAGCAACUCCACGAAACAAAGCAGACAGGCUCUCCUGAAGCCAAGGAGUUAUGAAAAAGGCAGGCAUCGCGCAUUGAAUCAAGUAUGCCAUUACCCUCACUCCCAUGAACCUGUCUUUCAGCACAAUCCAUGACAGCAAGAAGACAAAGGCUUUGUUACAACAGAACAGAGCGGAGACAUCCGUGGCCGUCAGCUUCUUUAAAGCCAGUAAAUAAAGGAAAGAAAAGAGAAGUUAAUAUCCAGGUACUGAUGGUGACACCUCUUGUCUUAUCUGACUCAUCGCAGCCAUUUUCAGGUAAGAGCACAAACACUCAAUACCCAUCCUUCAUUGUGAAGUAUACUGAACCCAGUUCUGAAAUCUGCGGGCUUCAGGGAGUGUAUGAGGUUCCUUGGAAAAUAGCCCACAUGUGCCCAAGCACAGAGUUAGGCUCUCUUCUCUGAGAUAGUCUCUGGAGGUUGCCUGAAAAGCCAUUCUGUCGUUUUUGAGCAUUCUCAGAAGAGCCUGCAGAAAUACCGAAAUUGGUAGUUGCUGAAAUCACUAGCUAUUGGAAGAGGGUGGGCAAACGAGAGAGGGUCAAGGCUGCUACUACUCUGUGAACGGGCUACAGACAACUCCUAGAACCCGGAGGGAAAGGGACCCUCAUACAUCUGUGCAGCACACAUGUUUUUGGAUUUUAUUUCUAAGACACUAAGCCACUUUCUAAUAUAUCUGCCCAAUUGACUAAUUUUUUUUCCUGCCAGCAUUUUUAAGGCAGAAAAAUGAAGUCCCUGUGAUAACUCCCACAUGAUAAAAACUAUAAUAGAAAACUCAGGUUGUACUUAUAUACAAACAUUUGGCCCUUUUGGAGGAAUUGUCUAAAUUCGGUGUGAGAAAAUGGUCACUUCAAUUGUUAAAUCUUCGGUUUGUUUGAUUUUUCAAGGAAGUUGGCUACAUUUAGCCCCAGGGGCCAUUUUUUUCCUUUAAGUCCUAGGCCUAAACAUGAUUUUUUUUUUCCCCCUAGGUCUGGCUCUCUUACCCAGGCUGGAAUGCGGUAGCAUGAUCUUGGCUCACUGCAACCUCCGCCUCCCAGACUCGAGCCAUCCUCACACCUCAGCCUCCUGAGUAGCUGGGACUACAGGCACGCACCACCAUGCCAGGCUAGUUUUUGAAAUUUUUUUGUAGAGACAGACAGGAUUUCACUCUGUUGCCUAGGCUGGUCUCAAACUCUUAAGCUCAGGUGAUCUGCUCACCUUGGCCUCCCAAAGUGCUGAGAUUACAGGCAAGAGCCACUGCACCUGGCUCUGAGGGGCCAUUUUAAUAAAAAUGUUCAAGCUAGCAAUACAUACAGGCAAUAAUGGAAGUGAUACAAUGACUGUACCUAUACGACUAUGGACUGAAGACAGACUUACCACUGGGAGAAUUUUAAUUUUUUUCCCACUCGAUUGUUCAUGAACAUUCAAGUAUUUAUGGGGUAACUGUCAUGCUCCAGGCAUUGUAUUUUCAUGAGUAGUAUAUGUUUAUAAUGAAAUCUAUUUACAGGACUCUAGUACUAGUUUCUUUUCCAGUUUUAACUGAAAUUAGUGUGCCUCAAAGUAUUGCAAAUCAAAGUAAAUUCUAGCCAAUGUUUGCCUCACAUGAAUAACCCCAAAAAAGGACCACGUGGAGAGGAGGAGUGACAAAGAAUUAGGCACAGGGAGUAUAGCCUUAAAGAUUAAGUUUCAUAGUAAAUGUGACUUUCAACUGGAUGAGAAUGUUGGGAGUUGCAGGUCACCGGUUCCAGGAAGGUUAAAGACAUGUGUUGCACACACAGAAACUUGUAUUGAAAUUUGUUUACUUUCAUGUAAGGAGGCUUCCAAAAAGGAAGGAUUUUUGUAAAAUGAAAGUAAGAUUUCCCAAAGAUAAAUUUUAACUUUAAAGCCUUCUGUAAUGUAAACAGAAAUUACACACGCUCACAUACACAGGAAAGUGAACAGUCUCUUUGAAGCCCCACAGCCAAUGGGAUAUUCUGAAUUAGCACCAUACAUAGAACCAGAGGAAGUUUUCAUAGAGCAUCCUGGGCACAAAGUUCAUUUUCUGUACUUAUAAGGCGAUCUGCUCCGUGAGAAAGCUGCCGUGUAGAGCUGGAGUUGAGAGUCGUGGGUUUAUCCCAUCAUUUACAACUACUGAUUGCCUUUUAAAAUAUGAACACAUUUAUUAAGAACCACAACAAAACCCAUUCCUGAUUAAAGGAUAUCUUUUUCUUAUCACUGGCCCUAGCCAGUGAUUGUUCUUCAACCAAGAGCUGGGAGGAGUGCUCCUAAGCAAAGAUUUUGGAUGCAGGAAAGGAACACUCCAAUCCCACAGGGAAGACCAACAGAUGUGUAUUCCAGACAGACAGAGCCUCACUGGCAGAGCAGCUGGGAAGACGCUGCUGACUGACAGGUGGAGACUGUUCUCACCUGGCUCAACCUGUCUUCCAGGUGUUCAUUCCCUCGUUCUUCCCCUUUCUUUCCCCUUCUCUCACUGCCGACCUUCUCCCCUUUGUUACUGUUGUUGUAGAAAUUAAAAAUGCUCUCCAUCUAAAUGCCAGGUCACUUGUGUAAAAUCCCAUACUAUUUAAGCAUUAAACUCUAAGAAACAUGAAAACUGAAAAAAAAAUAUGGAUUUUUAUGGAGAAGCGAAUAACAGUGGGUUUCUCUUUGGGAUGAUGAGAUCAGACUUUCUGGGCAAGUGGCAUUGACAGGUGGUAUAGCUUGAAAUGAAGCAUAGAAGUUGGAGGACACUAAUAAUUUAGUUAUGCUUAUUAUUAAAACAGCAGCCACUAGUUGUUGAACCCUGUCUAUAUGUUAAAUAGCAUCUUAAGCAUAUUUUAUAGUAAGCAUAUUUUAUAGGUGCCUGACAUAGGCAAAUAUGUCUUUGGCUCCAGUUUGAUGCUAUCUAAGAUUUUUCCCCUAAGAAAACGUCCUUGUUAAUAAUAUGGUAUAUAUUUUUUUCUUCCUAAAUUUCAAAUUCACUUGAG
rnacentral:lncRNA from 10 species